UACGUAGGGUGCGAGCGUUAAUCGGAAUUACUGGGCGUAAAGCGUGCGCAGGCGGUUUUGUAAGACAGAGGUGAAAUCCCUGGGCUCAACCUGGGAACUGCCUUUGUGACUGCAAGGCUUGAGUGCGGCAGAGGGGGAUGGAAUUCCGCGUGUAGCAGUGAAAUGCGUAGAUAUGCGGAGGAACCCCGAUGGCGAAGGCAAUCCCCUGGGCCUGCACUGACGCUCAUGCACGAAAGCGUGGGGAGCAAACAGG
rnacentral:rRNA from 1 species